GAUACUGCGCAUGCGCAGGAGGCGGCUGGCGGCGCUAUGAGGGGCCUGGCAGCUGUUAGUGGCUGUUACUGGCCGUUACUUCCUGUAGCGGGCCCGGGCAGUCCUCUCACCACCGCCUUCUCCUCGCGUCCCGCAGCUCCUGCCGGGGAGGCGGUGGCCCCGGGGGAGUCGCCGUUGCCGCACGGCGCUGGCCGGGGCGGGGGCCCCGGGGCACUCGUGGAUGGCGGGGUUACCUGCUGGUAACCUUUACCGUGUAGGCCGCGUCGCUCUGUUGCGAGCUGUGUUUGCAAGUCCGUGCCUUGAUACAGGUUUGGUGGGAGAAGGAGCAACGUUUCUCCAGAUGUAUUUUUGCCAGUCACAUUUGGGUUGAUCAGAGGAGACUGAUAAAAUAUUUGCCGAGAUGACGUCAGUGGCAGAAUCACCAGAAGAACCACCGACCAGUGGCGCGAGUCUGCCGCCCAGGCAGGGCCAGAAGCACGGGCGGUCGUCUCAGCAGAGCGCCAAGAAAGAAGUCCUCAGCUCUGUGAGUCCUCAAAGAGGGAGGGAGCUACUGCCUGUGCCAGGCUCAAGACAGAGCAUCUCCAAAUCCAGGUGCAGAAGGAAUGUACUCUGGUCUCUGAGCUUUAACGUCGCACUUACUGUUAUCAGCUGUAAUGUGAUUUGAAGAGAGAGAAUUCAGGUUCAAGAGCUGUCAAAGCACCGAAUGGAUUGUAUUCACCUUGGUAGGACCUCAGCUAGGAACAGGAAAGAGUUAAUUUCUAUUUCAGUUGGCAUAAGGUUAUGUAAGUUUUUUUCUUGAUUCAAUAAGUAGUUUAGUUAACUUGUAAUAACUUCUUGUAAAAACAACUAAAAGCAAUAAUUAAGCUUCAGGAUCAAAAGAAGAAAAUGUGGCUUUUUUAGUAUUUAAUGUUAAGGUAGGACAAAUGAUGUUUGCUUCAGUAACUUUGUAAAUUUUCCAAUGCAAGCUAACUAGAAAUAUGUUUAGGUUAAGUAAAGAAAUUUUUUCCCCUGCUGUGUUCUGAAAUUACCAUUAAACUAGGCCAAAUUUGUUCUUGGUGUAACUCCACACAACUGAGCGAUGUCAGUGCUUUACAAACAUUUUCUGGGGCGAUCUGUAAGACAGAAAGUAGAAAGUUUAGAGAGAAGUCAGCCUGAGGAGAGAACUGCAGAAGCAUACCAUGGUAGAAAGCCAGACCAACACAGCUGUUAUCAAGGGCAAAAAUAAAUGUUUUGCUUUGCAGGCUUUUUAAAAGCUGAAAUAGCAGGUAAAGGUGUCCUAAAAGCAUCACUUCUGUAGUUUUUCAACAGGCUCUCUCACAGAAUGAAGAUGAUUAAAGAGGAUGAAUAAGCAUGGGGUUUGCUAUGAAUUAAACAUUGAGUAUGUAAGGAAAACAAGCAAACAAAAAGCUAGAGUGAAUGUUUGUUUUUCCAAAAAGAAGGAGGUUAGUUACAGGCCAUCCCAGGGAUCUGCAUUGAGACCAUAUUAUUUUUGUUUGGAAGCAAAAUCUUUUACCCACUUAGUCUAAAAAUAGGCUAAUAUAAGAUGGAAAUAACUCUGUUAGAAAUCAAAGAUGAGCUAUCUUCCUCCUUUGCAACAAGACAGAGUUGAUUAACUACUACUCUGAGAUAGAGUAUGGUAUGUGCUCUGUUUUGUGAUUAUAUUGGCUUCUCAGAUACAUAUCAAAUACCACUUAUUUCUGAGCAAUCAGUCAUACUCAUUUAGGAUUGUCACAUCCACUUCUCACCUUCAAAACAUUUAUUACUGGCAACUAAAAUAUUAGCAUGUCUGCCUGCCUUCCUCUCAUGGAUGAUUAGCCAACAGUCUCCCCCUUGCAGCCCAACCCUUCCCUGCCUCUUUGAUGCCGUGGCAGGUGUCAUCUCUCUGCCUGUCAUUUUGGCUAUACCUGAACAUCUAUCAGGCUCCUCUGUGUCUUCAUCCCUAGUUCAUACCUCUUUUUUUACUAAUUCCCCCUGCAUAACAUGUACAGGAUAGAAUUCUCUUUGUCUAUUCACAAAACCGAACUUCUCAUUUAGGUUAUGGUUGUCUCAUUUAUUGAGACCUUUUUCUGGUCUUGUCAAAAUCACACCCUUGCCCUGCUCACACCUACCCAUGAGGCUGCUGUAAAGACUGCUUUGCUUUUUGUGCACAGCUGAAAGUGUUAGCUCUCUGUGUGCAUCCUUACGCUCACAUUUCUCUGUCACAUCAAACCUAAGACUCUUAUCCUCAAAUCAACGCACUUUUUACUGCUGCCAUCUAACCUAUGGCACCAGCUGUUCUUUAGUAGUGAGCUAGAAUUAGGUGCAGGCCCCCUUUUGCCCUCACUGUUCCUAAAAGCUCCACAAAAGGAGUUUUCUCCUUUCAGUCCCUCCUUGAAGCUCUUGCCUGGGACAUUUCCAGGCUUCUCAAGACCUAGGUUGCAGACAUGCAAUUUCUUAGGCUUAUUG